rnacentral:rRNA from 1 species
CGUCGGCAGCGUCAGAUGUGUAUAAGAGACAGUAUUCGAAGCUAAGUGAAUUAGAACUGUUUGGAAAGACAGACCAAAGAGGGUGAUAGUCCCGUAUAAGUAAGCGAAGUUUAGAUAGUGGUACCCUGAGUAGUGCGGGACACGAGUAAUCCUGUAUGAAUCCACCGGGACCAUCCGGUAAGGCUAAAUACUCCUGAGAGACCGAUAGUGAACUAGUACCGUGAGGGAAAGGUGAAAAGAACCCUAAGUAAGGGAGUGAAAGAGAUCCUGAAACCGUACGCCUACAAGCGGUCGGAGCACAUUUACUGUGUGACGGCGUGCCUUUUGCAUAAUGAGCCUACGAGUUACUGUUUCUAGCAAGGUUAAAUGAUUAAGUCAUGGAGCCGUAGCGAAAGCGAGUCUGAAUAGGGCGCACAGUUAGUAGUAGUAGACGCGAAACCGAGUGAUCUACCCAUGGGCAGGUUGAAGCUGUGGUAACACACAGUGGAGGACCGAACCAGUUGACGUUGAAAAGUCUUUGGAUGACCUGUGGGUAGGGGUGAAAGGCCAAUCAAACCCGGAAAUAGCUCGUACUCCCCGAAAUGCAUUUAGGUGCAGCGUUGUGGUAAAGUUUUAUAGAGGUAGAGCUACUGAUUGGAUGCGGGGGCUUCACCGCCUACCAAUUCCUGACAAACUCCGAAUGCUAUAAAAUAUACACAGCAGUGAGGGCAUGGGUGCUAAGGUCCAUGUCCGAGAGGGAAAGAACCCAGACCAUCAGCUAAGGUCCCCAAAUAUAUGUUAAGUUGAACUAACGAGGUGAAACUGCUUAGACAGCUAGGAUGUUGGCUUGGAAGCAGCCAUUCAUUUAAAGAGUGCGUAACAGCUCACUAGUCGAGCGGUUUUGCAUGGAUAAUAAUCGGGCAUAAACAUAUUACCGAAGCUAUGGAUUUGUAAUUUAUUACAAGUGGUAGGGGAGCAUUGUAACCUGCGUAGAAGGUGUACUGUAAAGUAUGCUGGAGUGGUUACAAAAGAAAAUGUAGGCAUAAGUAACGAUAAUGCGGGCGAGAAACCCGCACACCGAAAGACUAAGGUUUCCUCAGCGAUGCUAAUCAGCUGAGGGUUAGUCGGGUCCUAAGGCGAAUCCGAAGGGAGUAGUCGAUGGAUAACAGGUUAAUAUUCCUGUACUUCUUAUAAUUGCGAUGGGGUGACGGAGUAAUGAAAGCACCGCGUACUGACGGAAUAGUACGUUGAAGAAUGUAGCUAUAGAACCAGAUUAAGAGUUAGGUUUUGGCAAAGUUCGAUAGUACCACAACUCUUCGGACGAGUGGAUAGUGUGCCUAAAGGCUUCCAAGAAAAACCUCUAAGCUUCAGAUUAUAAGAACCCGUACCGUAAACCGACACAGGUAGUUGGGAUGAGAAUUCUAAGGUGCUCGAGAGAUUCAUGGCUAAGGAACUAGGCAAAAUAGACCUGUAACUUCGGGAGAAAGGUCGCCCCGCUUUACGGCGGGGCCGCAGUGAAAAGGUCCAGGCGACUGUUUAUCAAAAACACAGGGCUCUGCUAAAUCGAAAGAUGAUGUAUAGGGCCUGACACCUGCCCGGUGCUGGAAGGUUAAGUGGAGGGUUUAGCUUCGGCGAAGAUCUGAAAUGAAGCCCCAGUAAACGGCGGCCGUAACUAUAACGGUCCUAAGGUAGCGAAAUUCCUUGUCGGGU